GGAUAAUGCAUUAAAAAGAAGGAGAAAAUCUUUUGAAAUGGAAACACACAUCCCCUUUCUCUUCCUAUUCAGUAAAUUGCUCAAAACAGGGCAUUCAGACGGAAAAUGGAGAAGCAAUCCGGUGCCACUCCCAGAGUCGACGCCCAGAAGAGCCGGCUGGGUCUGCGAGGAGCAACAGAGGAAUCGGUUCACAGGCCGCUGCUGCUGGAAGGUCCCCGGCGCCUCACAGCUUUAAACUGAAAGGUCACUGCUACCCGGAAGGAGGCAGGUGUCUCGUGCCAGUAGCCAUGCAACUGUGUCAAGCUAACUCGUUUCCUUGCAAAUAUGGUGAAAUCUCAGGUCUGUUUUUGACAGAAUAUGACUGAUAACAGAGGGCACCUCGACAUUCUCAGGGUUUGAGCCCCUUUGAGACUCUGAUGAGAGCUGGGGAUGCUCCUCACACAGUAAUUCCAUGCAGAUUUCCACAGAACAAGUGUAUGGACCCUCUGGAGCUGAUGGAAUUACCCUCUGACUGCUUCAGCCUCCUUUUUAGACUAUCCUUUGUAUCUUCAUUCUGAGAGUUAACUGUAAUAAGUCCUGUAGGAGCUGAAUAACUGUGAGAACCCUGGACAUGCCUGGAUACCACGGUGCGCAGAGUGGCACGCAUCGGGAACGAUGGGUGGCCUCUGGUAGCUAAGCACCUCAGUCCUACAACCACAUGGAACUGAGUCUUUCUGAAGAGCGAGCUAGCAAGAGGACACUCAGCCUCAAAUAUAGCAGCACCAGCUCCUCUCUGCUUUUAGCCUGCCCAGUGGACCCACUUAAUAUCUGUGGAAUUCUGGCCCCAUGGAUGUUGUGACGUAUAUUUGUUUAAAGCUGCUAAGUCCUCUAUAAUUUAUCAUGCAAUGCUAUGAAACUGAUACAUUCAGCAACUACAUUUAAAAGCUUAGUGUGCACUUUAUCAUAUUGUAGAAUUAAUCAACAGAUUAGAGUUCAGCCAGAUUAUGUAACUUGAACAUUUUAACAUUGUAACAUUCUGUUAAACUACUAAUAAAGCCUAAGAGUAUUC